CAGGAAAAGACAAUGAUGUUUUACUUCCAAGCACAUAUCUGAGCUGGAUGUGUGGACAGCAGUGAAGCUGAGUCUUUUCCAU
rnacentral:snoRNA from 1 species